rnacentral:rRNA from 1 species
AUUGAACGCUGGCGGCAUGCCUUACACAUGCAAGUCGAACGGUAACAGGUUAAGCUGACGAGUGGCGAACGGGUGAGUAAUAUAUCGGAACGUGCCCAGUCGUGGGGGAUAACGUAGCGAAAGCUACGCUAAUACCGCAUACGAUCUACGGAUGAAAGCGGGGGAUCGCAAGACCUCGCGCGAUUGGAGCGGCCGAUAUCUGAUUAGGUUGUUGGUGAGGUAAAAGCUCACCAAGCCUGCGAUCUGUAGCUGGGCUGAGAGGACGAACAGCGACACUGGAACGGAGACACGAUCCAGACUCCUACGGGAGGCAGCAGUGGGGAAUUUUGGCCAAUGGACGCAAGUCUGAUCCAGCAAUGCCGCGUGCAGGACGAAGGCCUUCGGGUUGUAAACUGCUUUUGUACGGAACGAAACGGUGAGCUCUAAUACAGUUUGCUAAUGACGGUACCGUAAGUAUAAGCACCAGCUAACUACGUGCCAGCCGCCGCCGUAA